rnacentral:rRNA from 1 species
AUUGAACGCUGGCGGCAGGCUUAACACAUGCAAGUCGAGCGAGCGGCGGACGGGUGAGUAAUGUCUGGGCAAAGGACUGGUGGAGGGGGAUAACUAAUGGAAACGGUAGCCAAUACCGCAUACCAUCAGAUGGGCCCAGGUGGGAUUAGCUAGUAGGUGGGGGAUAGGCUGACCUAGGAGACGAUCCCUAGCUGGUCUGAGAGGAUGACCAGCCACACUGGAACUGAGACACGGUCCAGACUCCUACGGGAGGCAGCAGUGGGGAAUAUUGCACAAUGGGCGAAAGCCUGAUGCAGCCAUGCCGCGUGUGUGAAGAAGGCCUUCGGGUUGUAAAGCACUUUCAGCGGGGAGGCGUUACUCGCAGAAGAAGCACCGGCUAACUCCGUGCCAGCAGCCGCGGUAAUUC